CAUUCUUUCCAGUAUGAAACUUAAUUCAUCCGUAGAGCAGGAAGCAGUUCACGCUCCGCCAAAGGAAACGGAAUUCUAUUAGUUGUGUCUCGACACUGGGUUUUACUUCCUAACCAGUAAUUGUUCCCAUAGAAAAAUCCAGAAUCUGGCGCGCCGCUUGAAUCCAGCACUGCAACAGUCGGUUUCUAGCACUGUCGGAUUUAGAACAACACAUGCGCAUACAACCUAAAACAAAAUGUUGUAGGGAUAAUUGGGCAAGAUCAUGAAGACUAGAGCAGUCUUCAUGGGUAACAUGGUCAGCACGUAUAAAAUGAACAAAUGGUAUUGGAAUGUGACAGUGACUGAUUUUACCCUCUCUGACCAUCUUAACCCAAGUUUUCCUGUGUGUGUGUCCAAAUGGCUGGGUGAACUGCAUAACCAAUGGAGUGGAAAUUAACAGGAAAAAUACGUAAAUGGAAAAGUAACAUUUACAACUGUUGAGGAAUUCUAAUUGAAAAGUUUUGCAUUGGCGUCUGUAAAAUUUGUUUAAUACCAUCAUGAUAAUACGAUCACAUGAUUGCAACGGUUCUGCCUCAAGGCAAAUCUGUUUGCCCUUUCUUAAGAGUCAAAUCUUGGAAAAAAUUUCCGAUACGUCAGAGCAAGCUUAAUUAAUUACCCGAAAUAUACUGCAAAUAAUUUUUAUUCAUGUAUGCAACUGAUGACUUUUGUCAAUGACGCAUUUUUAUCAGUUUUUU